rnacentral:tRNA from 1 species
GGUGGAGUGGCCGAGUAGUUCAAGACUCUGGUUUAAGGCACCAGUCCGAAAGGAUAUGGGUUCGAAUCCUACCUCCAUCA